CUGGGUGCACCGCUCUACUUUCACCUCUCAUAGAGUGAGAUGAGCUCCGAGAAUCAGCAGCUCCUGAUCCCCUUUGUAGUCUUAGAGAGUUGAUGUGCUGCAGAAUGAGUGACUUAGCUGCACAGUACUUGGAGGAAGAAUGACCAAAUGGACCGUUUUACAAGGUAUUCAGAAACAAUAACUACGAAAUGAAUGGUGACGGUCUUCUCAGUUUUUGAGGACAGGAACAGAGCUCCACCAGCAACUGAGGACGGUUGAGAGGAAGUGGUGGGGGGGCCAGACCGCGCGCCUAUAAAAAGGGCAUGAAUGGCACAUUGUGCUCCUGCACAUGUACGCGCUGGCUGACUACAGCUUUGAAGUCUCCGACCAGCAGCACUGGGACAAGCACGACACCUAGAGUGGAGUACUC